CGGUUGAUCCUGCCGGACCCUACUGCUAUCGGGGUGGGACUAAAACAUGCGAGUCGUGCGUCUCCUAGCUAUGGUGGAGACGCGGCGAACGGCUCAGUAACACGUGGCUAACCUACCCUCGAGACGGGGAUAACCCCGGGAAACUGGGGCUAAUACCCGAUAGGCGAGAGAUCCUGGAAUGGGCUCUCACCUAAAAGGCAUCGGAACCAUGCUUCCGGUGUCGCUCGAGGAUGGGGCCGCGCCCGAUCAGGUUGUUGGUGAGGUAACGGCUCACCAAGCCUAUAACCGGUACGGGCCGUGAGAGCGGGAGCCCGGAGAUGGGCACUGAGACAAGGGCCCAGGCCCUACGGGGCGCAGCAGUUGCGAAAACUCCGCAAUGCGCGAAAGCGUGACGGGGCUACCCCGAGUGCCGUCCGCUGAGGAUGGCUUUUCUCCGGUGUAAUGAGCCGGAGGAAUAAGGAGAGGGCAAGACUGGUGUCAGCCGCCGCGGUAAUACCAGCUCUCCGAGUGGUAGGGACGAUUAUUGGGCUUAAAGCGUCCGUAGCCGGUCAGGUAAGUGUCCCGUUAAAUCCAACGACCUAAUCGUUGGACUGCGGGAUAUACUGCCUGACUAGGGGACGGGAGAGGUCGACGGUAUUCCUGGGGUAGGGGUGAAAU
rnacentral:rRNA from 1 species